AUUGAACGCUGGCGGAAUGCUUUACACAUGCAAGUCGAGCGGCAGCACGGGGGCAACCCUGGUGGCGAGCGGCGAACGGGUGAGUAAUACAUCGGAACAUGCCCAGUCGUGGGGGAUAACACUUCGAAAGAAGUGCUAAUACCGCAUACGUCCUGAGGGGGAAAGCGGGGGAUCGCAAGACCUCGCGCGAUUGGAGUGGCCGAUGUCAGAUUAGCUAGUUGGUGGGGUAAAGGCCUACCAAGGCAACGAUCUGUAGCUGGUCUGAGAGGAUGAUCAGCCACACUGGGACUGAGACACGGCCCAGACUCCUACGGGAGGCAGCAGUGGGGAAUUUUGGACAAUGGGGGCAACCCUGAUCCAGCCAUUCCGCGUGAGUGAAGAAGGCCUUCGGGUUGUAAAGCUCUUUCGGCAGGAACGAAACGGUGAGCUCUAACAUAGCUUGCUAAUGACGGUACCCGAAGAAGAAGCACCGGCUAACUACGUG
rnacentral:rRNA from 1 species